rnacentral:rRNA from 1 species
UCAGGCCUAACACAUGCAAGUCGUACGAGAGUUUUUAACUCUAGUGGCGGACGGGUGAGUAACACGUGAGAAUUUGCCUUUAGGAGGGGGACAACAAUUGGAAACGAAUGCUAAUACCCCAUAUGCUUUCGAGUGAAAUGGAUUUUAUCCGCCUAGAGAGAAGCUCGCGGCUGAUUAGCUUGUUGGUAAGGUAAGAGCUUACCAAGGCGACGAUCAGUAUCUGGUUUGAGAGGACGAUCAGACACACUGGAACUGAGACACGGUCCAGACUCCUACGGGAGGCAGCAGUGGGGAAUUUUCCGCAAAGGGCGAAAGCCUGACGGAGCAAUACCGCGUGAGG